UUUACAUUUGGUGUAGUCAAAUGUAUUGAUUUUCUUUCCCUUAGUGAUUUUUUUUUCCACUGCUUUUAUGCUUAGAAAAUCCUUUCUCAUCCAGAGAGCGAAUAAAUAUCAUUGAAAUGUUUGAAGCAGCGGAGUGGUAUGGGUGGAUGAUUAAUAAUAAAAUUUACAGAUUUGAUGUAGUGGCAAAAAAGGAAACUGGGUUAAAAUAAUUAAACCUUCCUUCUUUAUCCACCCCAAACCCAGCCCAAGGUUAAAGUCGGGAAUGGCUAGGCAUUAAAGAAAAGGACUGGGCAGAUUGGGAACAAUGGGAGGAGUCUUGAAGGACUAGCAGGAGGUUGGACAGGCAGACAGGGUGAGUUGAAUAAGUAUGAGGAGGACGUUACAUGUUCCAAGGUAAGAUCUGAAGGCACGUAGCAUGUUUAAUUAGACUCUUAGCUGAGACAAAGCAGUGAUGGGAGAGGGGAUUGAGAAGGGGUCGGGGAAGGCCAGAGGGCUCAUAAAUCAUGUGAAGAGGUUAGGACUUCAUUCCGAGAACAAUGGUGAACCACUGAAGACAGAAUCCAAGUAAUUCUUGGUGACUCAGGAGCAAGUCUGCAUAGAACUUUGUUUGAGAAGGCACAGUCUCCCAGUCAAAAACAACUAGAAAGAAAGGCCAAUGACAGCAUCCCACUGACCAUGGCACUGGUAGGCGCUCUUUAGAGAAUAAACUCUCUUCAUCUGGACCAGAUGGCGGGCAGACAAUAUCUGCUCUUAUCCUUGCCUUUCCCUCCAUUCCUAGCGCUGGGAAAGAGGCUGAGCUUUGGAGGCAGACUGACCUUUCUGGCAGAUUCUGACUCUGCCCCUCCAAAGCCAUCUCUUUUCCCACCUGUCUGCCUCCCUCCCUUCCACAGAUGUCAUUGGAUCUCUCUUAUAUGGGCAGAGCAGAGAUAAACCACAGAAUUUCUGUGCUUGUAAGAUUAUGGACUGGAGGGAAGAGAGAGAUUACUUAAGUGAGUGAUUACUUAAAUACAUAGAAAAUUUAAAGUUUUAAAAUAUUUUAAAAAGAGAGCCAGGAUCUUAUGAAAGAUUAUUAGGGAAAUGGAUUGUGAAGAUGUCAAUGACUGCUCACUUCUAUUGAAAGGGAUCUACUCUCUGCAGGGUAAGCAGGAGUUCAGAGAUGAAGGUGUGGGGACGCAAGCCACAGUACAUGUGAAGGUACCUGGGCGGGAGGACCAGACCUGAGACAGUGCCAUUGUGACUGGAGAACAGAUGGGACAGGUGACAAAGAGGCAGGAGGGCAAUCAUGCCAGACCUUGUAGGUCAGGUGGAGGACUUUGAUCUUUAUCUGGAAAGCAAUGUGAAUCCAUAUUCAAAUGGCUCAUUCAGAGCUGAGACUUAAACCUAUUUCUUCCAACUUGAGAGGGUCCCAAGGUACCAGAAUGCACACCAGGCAAGCACCCCCUUCUCCAGGAUCCAGUCUUGGAGCCCCUGGCCCUUGAGGGUGCUCCCACACUGAAUGCAGGAUCCAGGAUCAGAAGCCAGGCUUAAGCUGGAGCAGGCCCUCUCCGAUAACUGGGUCUCAACAUGCAGCCCAGAAAGACCAUCUCCUGGAAAACAGAGGAAACUGAAUGAUAGCUAAAGCCACCUUCUCUGAAGAAAAAAAGGAUUAACCAGGAGAAGAAUUCACAAAAAGUUGCAAAAAGAAUACAGGGAAAUAUGUGUUCCCUUCUUCCCUUUUCCUCCAGUAAUUACAGACUAUGAAACAAUGGUGUAAUAGCAAAUCAUGGACAUCAGCAUCACUACAAUACACUAUCGGUUUCCCUGAGAGCAAAUCCCUGGGAUGUAAGUCUGAGAAGAUGAAUGCUAGUCGAGUAAUUCCCUGCUGAUCCAGAGAUCUUGUGACUUCAAUGAGGGCCAACAUAGCAGAAACUUGAAUAAGGAAGGGCCUCUGGUCGUUUAAAACAAGCUCAUGCUCUUACAUGGCAAUAUCCUCCAGGCCAUUUACUCUGAGACUUUUGACAAUUCAUGUGCAGUUCUGAAAAGUGUGGUUAUUCGUUUCUGCUCCCUCCCAAAUAAUAAU